ACUCGUUGGUAGAUACCAUAGUUUAUCGUAGACCCGCGAAGGUUAUAAAUGUCAUCUUUGGUUUUCAGUAUAUUAAUCUCUGUAGUGUAAUUAGCAGCGCCAAGUUUGAAGAUGUUUCUUGAUUGUAUUUGAAAUGUUGUAGUUAGGCGCAAUAAGAAUAUAUGUAAAGUCGAUUAACAAAUGGGAGAUCUGGAUAUAUACUGCAAUUUCAGUAAAUGUCGGAAACGUUUGAGCAGAAUUGCUUGGAUAACAAGUUGUUCCCAUGCAUUUUGCGAAGAACAUGGCGAUAGUGAAUUUUCACAAAAUCUUGAUGACGUGAAAACAUGUCCAACAUGUUCCACCUCUUUGUGUAAUAAGUAUGAUAUUGUUAAAGUGGAUUUGAAUCCAUCACCACAGUUCAGAUCGAUGGUUUUAGCUGGAUUGCGUCCUGAAAUUGUAUUUGAUAUUUCCAAUCGUGCUUUGGCAUUUUGGAGUUACCAAAUUUACAUGGAAAUUCUCUAUCAGUCAUCAGCAGCAAAGAGAUCAAGAGACAAAAUAACACAGCUUGAAGAAUAUUAUGAAAGUAUAGUGAUAAAGCUGAAAACAGAUAUUCAGGCUCGUCGUAGAAAGGAAGAAGAACUGAAGAAAGAAUUAACUAAACAGACUCAAAGAUCAGAAGAAUUAAUAGAACGACUUAAUGAAAUGCAAAGGCAGUUUAAUUCUGUGCAAGCAUCCUAUGAGGCUCUGCGUCGUACACAACUAAAUUUCGUCAAAGCUAAUGAAAAGGAACAGGCGAAUAACUUCCGCUGUCAUGAGAAUGGCAAGACUGGAUUGCAUUUCUCUCUUGGUCCCACCACAUUAGACGCAUUGCGUCCAAGAACUCCAUUACAAGACAAUAAGAUCCAGUUCAACAAGGGAGAUUUAAGGGCUGAAAAUGAUGUUGAAGCCAAAAGGAAGUGGCUUUCCAACAGGAACUGCAAAUGUUUGAUGACAAUGUGACAAAUCAACUGACUCCUCCACAGGAAAACACGUCUGGCGUGUCAUAUACAGCAUUAGUGACAAAUUCACAUUCAAGCCAGUAACACCAUCACCUGAUGCAACAAGACAGUGGAGAAAUCCUCUUGUGAAACGACAAAGAAAAUAGAAUUAAAAUGUGGACUCUUUUGACACUGGAUAUGAGGAUGCAAUGAAGACAAGUAUUAUUUUAUAUAAAUUUGGACUUAUUUCCAUUUGAAGACCAGUGUGUGUUGUAUUUCAUACCUUAAUUUGUGGCAUGUAUACAGUUUUAUUAAGUAGAAUUUGCACAAUGACUCUUUAUCAAUAACAAAUUUGAACGAAUCACUCACAUCACACCACUUCAUUGUAGCUUACUAGUAAUUUUUUCGUCUUUUUAAGGACAAUGCAUAUUUUGUGGCAACUGUUGCAGUUGGGCUGUUUUCUCUAAUUUACAUUUAAAACCAUUAAAAGUAAUAUAUUAACAUAGCACAGAGAAAAUGUGGAAGAACGAAAUAAAAUCAAUUUUGUGCUGUAAAAAUAAUAUAUUUUCUUGUGGAUACAAAAAUAUGCACUGCCAUUGUGAUUUUUUAUUAUUUAUUUCAUACGAAUAAUUUGAAAGACCUGUUGAAAGUGGAUAAACUUUGUAUAAAUAUUUCUACAAUUGUGUAGCUCAUUGGAUUUCAUCACAAUAAAUACUUUCUGCAUU